GGACUCUACAAGGUGUCGAAAGCGUUCCACAGGGAUGCUGGUCCAUGUUGACUCUACAAGGUGUCGAAAGCGUUCCACAGGGAUGCUGGUCCAUGUUGACUCUACAAGGUGUCUAAAGCGUUCCACAGGGAUGCUGGCCCAUGUUGACUCUACAAGGUGUCGAAAGCGUUCCACAGGGAUGCUGGUCCAUGUUGACUCUACAAGGUGUUGAAAGCGUUCCACAGGGAUGCUGGUCCAUGUUGACUCUACAAGGUGUCGAAAGCGUUCCACAGGGAUGCUGGUCCAUGUUGACUCUACAAGGUGUCGAAAGCGUUCCACAGGGAUGCUGGCCCAUGUUGACUCUACAAGGUGUUGAAAGCGUUCCACAGGGAUGCUGGCCCAUGUUGACUCUACAAGGUGUCGAAAGCGUUCCACAGGGAUGCUGGCCCAUGUUGACUCUACAAGGUGUUGAAAGCGUUCCACAGGGAUGCUGGCCCAUGUUGACUCCAAUGCUUCCCACAGUUGUGUC